UACGUAGGCAGCAAGCGUUGUUCGGAAUUACUGGGCGUAAAGAGUGUGUAGGCGGUGCUCCAAGUCUGGUGUGAAAUCUCCCGGCUUAACUGGGAGGGUGCAUUAGAAACUGGUAUGCUAGAGGAUGGGAGAGGUAAGCGGAAUUCCUGGUGUAGCGGUGAAAUGCGUAGAUAUCAGGAGGAACACCUGUGGUGUAGACAGCUUACUGGACCAUUUCUGACGCUGAGACACGAAAGCGUGGGUAGCAAACAGG
rnacentral:rRNA from 1 species